rnacentral:rRNA from 1 species
GGUUAACGCUGGCGGCGUGCUUAACACAUGCAAGUCGAACGGACGAGUGAGAUAAGUUUACUUAACUCACAAGUUAGUGGCGGACGGGUGAGUAACACGUGGAUAAUCUACCUGCAACACCGGGAUAACGCUGUGAAAACGGUGCUAAUACCGGAUACGUUCCCUUGUGCGCAUGUAUGAGGGAAGAAAGCUCAGGUCGGUUGCAGAUGAGUCCGCGGCUGAUUAGCUAGUUGGUGAGGUAAAGGCUCACCAAGGCGAUGAUCAGUAGCCGGCCUGAGAGGGUGAACGGCCACACUGGGACUGAGACACGGCCCAGACUCCUACGGGAGGCAGCAGUGGGGAAUCUUCCGCAAUGGGCGCAAGCCUGACGGAGCAACGCCGCGUGGGUGAAGAAGGCCUUCGGGUUGUAAAGCCCUGUCUUAUGGGAAGAAGUCAGUGACGGUACCAUAGGAGGAAGCCACGGCUAACUACGUG